UCGAUGAAAGACGCAGCAAACUGCGCGUCGUCGUGUGAACUGCAGGACACAUGAACAUCGACAUUUUGAACGCACAUUGCGGCCCUGGGAUUCCAUCCAAGGGCCACGCCUGUCUGAGGGUCG
rnacentral:rRNA from 2 species